AAUUUUGAAUAAAAAUAACAAGGAAAUUUUUGAAAAUUAUUAGGUAGAAUUUUAAUUUUUAAAAAUAACAACAUUUUUAUUCAAGAAAAGUAUGACAAGGACCAGGAUUAGAUACCCUGUUACUCAUAGUUAAAAAUUUUUUGGAAUAGUAUUAUUAAUGAAAUUUAACGGAUUUGGCGGCAAGAUAGCCACUUAGAGGAACCUGCCCUGUAAACGAUGAGCCACGAUUAACCUUACUUUUACUAGAAUCCAGUUUGUAUACCGCUGUUGUCAGUUAGUUUCCCUAGAAAACUUUCGUACAUGAUAAAUUCAAGGACUUCAAGUAAAGGUGCAGCUUAUGUAAAAGAUAGAGGUGGGUUACAAUUAAAAGAAUAAUAUGGAUAAAGUAAAGAAAAAACUUUUGAAGGUGGAUUUAAUAGUAAAGUUUAAUAAGACUUGAUUAGAGCUCUAUCUUGUGUACACACCGCCCGUCGCUCUCUUUUUUAAAC
rnacentral:rRNA from 1 species